GAUGAACGCUGGCGGUAUGCUUAACACAUGCAAGUCGAACGGACUCUUCGGAGUUAGUGGCGGACGGGUGAGUAACGCGUGAGAAUCUGGCUUUGGGUUCGGGACAACCACUGGAAACGGUGGCUAAUACCGGAUGUGCCGCAAGGUAAAAGAUAUAUUGCCUGAAGAUGAGCUCGCAUCUGAUUAGCUAGUUGGUGGGGUAAAAGCUUACCAAGGCGACGAUCAGUAGCUGGUCUGAGAGGAUGACCAGCCACACUGGGACUGAGACACGGCCCAGACUCCUACGGGAGGCAGCAGUGGGGAAUUUUCCGCAAUGGGCGAAAGCCUGACGGAGCAAUACCGCGUGAGGGAGGAAGGCUCUUGGGUUGUAAACCUCUUUUCUCAAGGAAGAACACAAUGACGGUACUUGAGGAAUCAGCAUCGGCUAACUCCGUGCCAGCCGCCGCAGUAAGAC
rnacentral:rRNA from 1 species